rfam:Drosophila yakuba strain Tai18E2 chromosome 3R v2_Cont4.29, whole genome shotgun sequence.
CCGUUCUUGUGUUUUUCGCUGGUUGUCCUACCAAAACCAGGGAUUGUCAAACAGAACGCAAAUUAAUGGCAGCUUUUCACUCCACAAUGUUGAGCCCACUUACCUCGGCUACUGCAUUACUUUCCGGCUCGCCACAUUA